UACGUAGGGAGCAAGCGUUGUCCGGAAUCAUUGGGCGUAAAGCGCGCGUAGGUGGCUUCAUAAGUCCGUUGUGAAAGUCAAAGGCUCAACCUUUGAAAGCCGAUGGAUACUGUGGAGCUAGAGUACGGAAGAGGCGAGUGGAAUUCCUGGUGUAGCGGUGGAAUGCGCAGAUAUCAGGAGGAACACCAAUAGCGAAGGCAGCUCGCUGGGACGUUACUGACACUGAGGAACGAAAGCUAGGGGAGCGAAUGGG
rnacentral:rRNA from 1 species